AUUGAACGCUGGCGGCAGGCCUAACACAUGCAAGUCGAACGAGUGGCGGACGGGUGAGUAAUGUCUGGGAAACUGCCAGAUGGAGGGGGAUAACUAAUGGAAACGGUAGCUAAUACCGCAUACCAUCGGAUGUGCCCAGAGGGGAUUAGCUAGUAGGUGGGGUAAAGGCUCACCUAGUCGACAGUCCCUCGCUGGGCUGAGAGGAUGACCAGCCACACUUGAACUGAGAAACGGUCCAGACUCAUACGGGAGGCAGCAGUGGGGAAUAUUGCACAAUGGGCGCAAGCCUGAUGCAGCCAUGCCGCGUGUAUGAAGAAGGCCUUCGGGUUGGAAAGUACUUUCAGCGGGGAGGCGUUACCCGCAGAAGAAGCACCGGCUAACUCCGUGCCAGCAGCCGCGGUAAUUC
rnacentral:rRNA from 1 species